GUGGAUUAGAUACCCUGGUAGUCCACGCCGUCAACGAUGAUAACUAGCUGUCUGGGUUCAUGGAACUUAGGUGGCGCAGCUAACGCAUUAAGUUAUCCGCCUGGGGAGUACGGUCGCAAGAUUAAAACUCAAAGGAAUUGACGGGGGCCUGCACAAGCGGUGGAGCAUGUGGUUUAAUUCGAAGCAACGCGCAGAACCUUACCAGCGUUUGACAUCCUGAUCGCGGUUAGUGGAGACACUUGCCUUCAGUUCGGCUGGAUCAGUGACAGGUGCUGCAUGGCCGUCGUCAGCU
rnacentral:rRNA from 1 species